rnacentral:rRNA from 1 species
AUACGGAGGAUGCAAGCGUUAUCCGGAUUUAUUGGGUUUAAAGGGUGUGUAGGCGGAUGAUUAAGCGUGAGGUGAAAUGCCACUGCUCAACAGUGGAACUGCCUCGCGAACUGGUUGUCUUGAAUGCUCCUGCCGUGGGAGGAAUGUGUGGUGUAGCGGUGAAAUGCAUAGAGAUCACACAGAACACCGAUUGCGAAGGCAUCUCACGAAGGGGUGAUUGACGCUGAGGCACGAAAGCGUGGGGAUCAAACAGGAUUAGAUACCCUGGUAGUCCACGCAGUAAACGAUGAUAACUAACCGCUGGGUCGUAGUGAUUCAGUGGCCAAGCGAAAGCGAUAAGUUAUCCACCUGGGGAGUACGACCGCAAGGUUGAAACUUAAAGGAAUUGACGGGG